UCUUGUCGAAGGUUCGGAAGGCAUGCUGGGCAAACUUGGAGGCGUCUCCAUAAGGAAAGAACUGCAAAGGAGAACACGCGCAGUCAGGUGUCGGGAGGGGAUGGAAUCGGGGCGACGAGGUAGGUUCCUAAUGACGGCAUCACAGGUGCUCCUGGGCGUUGUCGGAGCCUCACCCAUUGGAGAGCAGUUUGGCCUGACUGUCAAGGGCAAGGGCAGGCAUUAGGGGAGGCUUUCUCACAGCAGGUGCUCAGGUACAGGCAUCUCAUUGUUUCCUGUGGGUGAGGCUGGUGACAUGUGGCUUUCAGUUGAUGGGGCUUGGAAUCGGUCAACAAGCACCACCUGAUGCUAGUGUUGCAGCAUCUCAGCUCACUCCCCCCAGGAACAGGACUGAGGCAGACAGCAGUUUCUCUCCCCACACAGGUGGUGCUACACGAACUUCAAUGUUCCUCUAGAUAUGAGAAUCUGGCUUCAUCGCUGCCCAGUAGGGCCAGAGGGAGGGUGCCCAGACCUGGUUUCUCCUGCCACCAGCCCUCGUCCUGGGCCCACACUUAUCCCCUCCCUGGGUGAGGUUCCAGUUUCUAACUUCUUUUUGCAGGGACUUUUCUUUUGCAGAACAGACAUUUAAAACUCAUUAAAAAUAGAACAUGACUGGGCUUAUUUUUGAGAGACAUAAAGAGGUUUCUUCACAGAGCCAACUGUCACCAGGGGUGUGUGGGAGGCAGAGAAUGGACACAAGGAGGAAAGGGAAGCAUAGACCACAAGGAGGGAAGGCCAUGGGGAAUCAGUAGGUGGUGGCCUCAGUCCCCUUGGACAUAAGCCUAGGCCAGUCACAAACAGCAGGUAGUUCUGAUAAUUAACAAGGAAGAACUGCAAAGCCCCAAAUACAACCAAAAACAAACCAUGUGCUAUUUUAAAGCAGAGAAGUUACGUAUGUAUUUCUGGAUGAAUAAAUCUGGGUUCUGGGCUCUAUAGGCAAGCACUACAAGGUCUAUAGAAGAUUACUGAGGUUGCUCAUUGAUAUCCCUUUUCCUUCGUAAGUUUUGCACCUGCUAAGUGGACCAGGUGAGCAGCCUUCAUACAGAUGGCCUCUUUGCCCACUCUGGGCUAUCUACCUCGAGGAGCCCUCGGUCCGUCUUUCUCACUGUGCAUCCUGACCUGGGUCCUGCAGAGCUCUGCUGCCCACUCCUCCUGCACCUAGAAGCACAUUGGAAGGUAGAAAAUUUCCCUCCAGACAUAAGAUAUGCUUUAACACAGAAGGAUUCUAUACAUGGGGCCCAGGGAACAGCCAAGCAUUCCAGGAGAAGGAAAGUACCCAUUACUUAUAUUUUGGUAGUACCCAUUGCUAGGCACAAUGAUCUGUUCCAGAGACUAUUCCUAUAUAACAAAUCACCCCAAAAGCUAGUGGCUUAAAAUGACAACAAUCAUUUUAUUAUCUCACGAAAUAAACAUUUGAGACCCAUUUCUUUUUUUCAUCAAACAUAUCUUUUCCUGGUUACAAAGGACAAUGUUCUCUUAUGUUCCCUCAUUCCCUAAACAUAUCUUUCACUUCUCUUAUCCUUCAUUUUUCAUUAUUCGUCAGAAUUCACUGCGUUCUUAUUCAUGUCGGGCCUCGUCUUGGGUGCUAUGGACUCAGAGAGCAAUACCUCGAGGUCUCUGUGUUCCGAGACUGCACAGUUAAUGGGGGGACUUUACUCAAAAUUGACUUGGUCAUGUUACUUGAUAAGAACUAGAACAGAGGAGAGGGCAAAGUAUUACUAAAGCUCAGUAAAUGAGCUGUUAGUUUCAAGGAGGGAGUUGUAGAGGGAAGGACUUUCCUUCUUCUUUGAACAGCUCAGCAUGACCCCAGCCCCUCACCCCCCAAUGCUACUUAGGUGCUUGGUACCUGAGGACAGGCUGCCAGGCGCUGAGUUUUGAACUAAACAAUGUUGAAUCUGAAAACUUCUAAAUAGGCAAGUUUGCUCCUCCUGUGCCUUAUGCAUGAGUGGUCCUGGUCCCUUUCUAGAGGGUACUUUGGCUGAUGUGUUCAUCUGCCUUGUGAUUAGGGGCCUGGGUGGGGCUGGCACCUGUGAACUGACUUGGAGUGGAGCAGAGCGAGCCCCUGGACAGGUUCCCAAGUCCCCUUAGUGCUGUUUACCCGCCAGCAUUUCUAUGUGCAGUUGGCAUGAGACCAGUGGGCACGAAACCUCCAUUCGUGUAGGUUUCUGGCACUGUAAUGCUUUAACUAUCUUAUGUCUCACAGCCUACUUUUAGGUUAAGGGAUAGUUGACAGUUUUAUCUAAAAAUAACUGGGCACCUUGGGUCAGUAUAUUAAAAAUUAAUUUAGGUCUAAAAAACCUUGAGAGAAAAAUCAAUUGUAAAUUUUGAGCUAUAAAAGUUACAUGUGUCUUGCAGAAGGUCUAUAUACUGACUUUUACAACCAACAUGUUUACUUUAGAACUGAGUGUGUGCUCAAGAGCCUUCAAAUUUCUGGAGGGGUUGUUUCCUUUAGGAAAUUUAUCCUAUCAUGUUCUGAGUGCUUUGAGUUUUUCUAACUAGGGACAUGCUCCUUAUUUUGACAAAAUAAUUCAACUCUAGAUGGAUCAUCACAGAGAAAUGAAGCUGCAUUCCCUUCAAUUUCUUAGGAAGAAUUCAGGGUCUUGAACUCAGAUUUACUUCUCCUGGAGGACAACAGGGCCUGAAAAGCACAGUAUUUUUCUUUUUUUGCGUACUCUUGUUCAAUUUCUUUUUAACUCAAUGUAUUUUGUUUCAAUUCUUGUAUUAAAUUUUGACAUGGAAGUAAUAUUCGAUGGCAGUAAUAAUCUAUAAAUAAUAUGACAGAUACAAAGAACUUUGAGGUUGAAAAAUUAAAAAUGUAUAUACACACUCAUAUGUAUAUGUAUAUGUGUGUGUGUAUGUGUAUUAGUGUUCUCUCACUUAAUUUUCAUAACAAAAUCUGACAUUGUACUUUCCAUUUUGUGGAUGAGGAAGUGGAAGCCUAGAAAGGUCAAAGGCAUUUGCCUAAGAUUCCUGGCUGUCUGCAGCAGAGGCUGGAUUUGAAUGCAAAUCUGUCUGACCGUUUCUGCCACACCUUGAGAUUUAUCUUAAUCAAGUGUUAGCCGAGGAAAUAAACUUAACUCCACAUUUGAUGAAGCAACCAAAUGUGUUGCAUUAUGUAAUUCUUAGCAUCCAUUGCCUCUGAAGCUUGAAAUUCUCUGCUCUGAGUAUUUUCGCCACCUUCUGGCAGCACAUAUGUACUGCAAGGAAAUUACUGAGAUUCUAACUGAGUUAUUUUCUGACUCAUUCUUUAACUCAACAUUGAGAGCAGCUGCUAUGUGUCAAGGACAGUGUUAGGUGCUGGCAAUAAAAUAGAAGAAAGACAUAGAGCAUUAAGGAGUGGGGGAAAAUAGGCAUUAAUCAAACCACCAUAUAAAGAAGUAUAAAAUUUUACUGUGAUAAAUUACAAGUGUAUGGAGCUGCAAACAAAAGUAAUGGACAUGAUAUUGUCAGUUUGAAGCUUUAAAAUAUUCGCAUGUGGUCCUUUCCCCCCAUCCUAAUAUACAGGCUGCUGACAAUUCAUUGUUCUUCAUCAUAGCCUAGAGUUUCAGAGUCUGAGACUUCUUGGGAUUACACAGACCUUGACUGCUCCCGGUUGUACUCCAUACCCUGUCCCUGAACCGAACAACCUGCAGAAGAAAACCCCAGGAAACACUUGAGGUCUUUUCUUUCCCCAGGCAGACAACAGGAGUCUUUGCAUGGUUUAACCAGCUUCCUCCUGGCCAGGGCAGGAGCUUUUUCUACAGACAGUGGGCCCCACUCUGCAUUUCUUUCUUUUCAGUAAUCUAUCUAGUUGUGAAUAUCAAAAUGUUUGUUUCCUCUAAGAGGUGGUGCAUGAGAACCAGACACAUUAGCCUCUGGGCCUCCAGGGCCCCACCCAGCGUGGGCACAGAAAGGCUGAGUGAUGAUCUACAAACACUGUGCCUCUCUCCAGUGACACAUUUCCUCUGCACCCCUAUCCCAGCCCUCCCCAGCACCAUUGCUGCCUGGAUAGCUUAUCCUUCCAGAGAAAAUAUUGCAGCAUUUCCCACAUGAAUCUCUCCCCUCCAAAGAUCCCUGGUUCACUGCCUCAAUGUGAUGGAGGAGGCAGCUCCCCAAGAAGUUCUCCAGCCCAACCUUUGGGUGGGGGUGGGGUGGGCACAAGCAAGGCCUUGGCCAGGACUCACCCCUGCCCAUGCAACAGCUGAUGUGCUGUGUCAGGAGGGGUGGCAGCAAGGCUACUUCGGAGGAUGCCUCUCUCCAGGGCUCUGCCCAAGGCCCAGCUCCUGGCUAACACUGGGCAGCCCUCAGACCUCAGAAUAGAUUUCUGCCCAUUAGUCUGCUGGAAAUAGAGCUCUUGAUAGGAAAUAGGGCUUCAAAAAACCAGAAGAGUAUUCUUGGACUGCUCCGCUGCUCACAGUCUUGGAGAGGUCUGCCAUCCAAUCCCGCAGAAGACAUAGUUGCUUUUAAAACACCCUCACUUGGGUCAGUUUUGUUUCUUUUGUUCUCAAAUUUCAAAGGCCUAUUUUGCCUGGCCUAUGAAUAUACAAAUACAAUCACCCUGAAAUACAGUUGCUCAACCUCCAAGGUUAUCUCCCCUUACCCUGCUGGAAUUAGCUAGUGGCUUCUAGCCUGUUCUGGAUGACCUGGUCUUGUACCUACCUCUUCAGGCCCUGCUACUGAGACAGUAGUUAUUGUUUCAUGAGUGUGUCUCGUGGAACAAGGCUCUAAGCAGGUCCUUCUCACAGGCCACCCCAGCUGAUUCUUUCAGCAAGGGUAGGACUUGCAGGAGGGUCAUUUUUCUGGGGUAAGUAACUGGCAUGAGGUCACAUCACUAAGGGGUGCAGGAGGAUCAAACUCAGUGCCAUCUGAGUCAAAGCCUUGGCUCUUCCCAGCACCAACUGCAGUCUCCUUCUCCUCCCACACCAGCCCUGCAGACAGACCCUCGGCCUGUCUCUUCCGGGGUCUUGACCUUCCUUGGCUACACUGUAUCUCAGAGGCUCCCUAAGGGGCCCCUCGUGCACUGUCAGGCUGCUCUUUGCUUUAGGCCUACUGGGCUUGUCUACCUUCUGUGGGAACCACCAAGGACAGGAGCUGUUCAGAUGAGCUCACCUCUAACUCCUUGUCCUGGGGGCUGAGGCCUUCACGUGGGGUGGUCGGGCCUUUCCAGCAGACCUCCUGCCGAUGGGCAGAAGGUUAGUGUUGGGGUCUCAUGUGCCCUUAGAUGCUGACCAUAUGCCUUUGAGAGGUCAUUUGAUAUUUGGUUUUGGCUUUCAGCUCUUCACAUCCAUGAGGCCUCCCCCAGGAAUAGGACCCCAUUGUAGUGGUACAUUCAUUGCUUCCUAACUUUCCCUACACUGAGGCCCUUCCAUCCAUCGUCACCACAGCUCCAGGGGAAAUUUGCACACCCAUGUUUGGUCAAGUUUCCUUCCCACACCCGACAAUAGCAUCUAAUUGUUCUCAGAAGAAGGAACGAGACUGUUUCCAGGCCUCAGAGACCUUUCUGUGUCUGGUCCCCACCUCUGUGUCCAGCUUCUGGUCCCCCGGCUCCCUUGUCCCGGGGCCGCUUUCACUCCCUGGGGCCUUGCUGGCUCUCCCUCCCCUGCCACAGUCAUGGGACCAUUGCCGUGCUGCUGCUGUGGUCUGAAAGUUCCUUUGCUGACCUUGGCCCAGUGAACCCCUGUUCCUUCUUUAAACCUUGAUUUGGUCUGGGUCAGACCCCUGUUACACACAUGCAUGUCACUGUAGGGAACAUUUGUUACAAUUGUGAAGAAAUGUUCACAGGAUUGUGGAUUCGUGCCCUUUUUCCCUAGUAGACUGUAAGCUAAACGGGGCCGAGAAUGACCUGGUUUUGCCAUUGCUGUAAUCUCUGGUGCCUGGUACAGGGCCAGGCACACAGUAGGUGCUCAGUAAAUGUCUGCUAAAUGAACAAGUGACUCAGCAAACAGAUCGUUUCGAGGCCUUGAGAGACAGGGCAAAUCUACCCACUGACCAGUAGAAGGGUUGAAAUGUGCUCUGGAAGCUGCCUGAAGCCGGCUGUGCUGCAGAAGGCUCACCACUUGGCCUGCAAGCCCAUUCGCAUUACUACUUAAGCAGAUGACUCAUGAGGAGAUGAAUCAGCCCAGAGCAGCACUUGCACUUUAGUCACAUGGAUGGGAAGACGAGAGACAUUUUCCCUUAAUUAGAAAUGGUGAGUCCAAAAACUGUUUUCUGCCAAAGUUUUCAUUCAACAGAUACUCACAGAAGCCCAACUGGUGCUGGGCUCCAUGCUGAGCUUUGUGAGGGCAGGAGGGAGAGUGAGGAGAGGCAACCACGCAUAAGAAGAUAGAAGGUCUGGUCUCUGCCCUCAAGCAGAUGUGAUAAGCCAAAGAUGGCCCCACCUGGACCUGCCAACCAGUUCUGUGGCCCCAACACAGGAACUGACUCAGCACAAGACAACGGCUUCAACUCCCUGUGACUUCAUCCCUGAGCUAACCAAUCAACAUUCCCGAUUCACUGGACCCCUACCCACCAAAUUAUCCUUAAAAACUCUGAUCCCCAGGUUUUCAGAGAGACUGAUUUGAGUAAUAAUAAAACUCAUCUCCUGCAUAGACA